GUGGCAGUUAGGGGACCUGGCCUGCUGAAUGGGUUGGGGCCUUCUCUUGGAUCAAGAGUCUCUUUUUUGAUCGAGGUCUUUUAUUAGACUUUCAUUCUUUCUCAGACCUCAGGCUGCAUGGUGGCAGCUGAUGAAAAUAUCUAAAAGAUGAGAAGAGACGAUUGAGCCUGGUGAGGGAAGGGGGAGACAGGGGGUGAAGUGGUGCUCAAGAUGGAUGCAGAGUACUCUGGGAAUGAGUUCCCCAGGUCAGAAGGAGAAAGAGACCAACAUCAGAGACCUGGAAAGGAAAGGAAGAGUGGGGAGGCAGGAUGGGGCACAGGUGAGCUGGGACAAGAUGGGAGACUGCUGUCCUCCACCCUCUCCCUCAGUAGUAACAGGUCCUUGGGCCAGCGCCGGAACUCUCCGCUGCCCUUUCAAUGGAGAAUCACACACAGCUUCCGCUGGAUGGCCCAGGUGUUGGCUUCUGAGCUCAGCCUGGUUGCCUUUAUCCUACUAUUGGUCAUGGCCUUCUCCAAGAAAUGGCUGUACCUCUCUAGGAGCCGCUUCUACCAGCGCUGGCCCGUAGAUGUCAGCAACAGAAUCCACACAUCAGCCCACAUUAUGUCCAUGGGGCUCCUGCACUUCUGCAAAUCCAGGAGCUGUUCUGACUUAGAGAAUGGGAAAGACAGUUUUAAGCUGUGGACAAAUCAGCCUAUGUUUAAGGUGGCUAAGUUAAGCUUCAGCCUGACCCUGGGGCUGGGCCUCGUCCUCACCAUCUGGUUGCACCUGCCCUACCUGCCCGCUGUUCAGAAAUUGCCCUUUGUCGGCUUGGUCGGGACCAUCUUGAGCUUCUGUGAAGUCACCUUCAUCUUCUCCACCCUCAUGCUAUUCCCCAUUAACAUCUGGAUCUUCGAGGUGGAGAGGAAUGUAUCCAUCCCCAUCGGCUGGAGCUAUUUCAUCGGUUGGCUGGUGCUUAUCCUGUACGUCACCUGCGAGACGGGGUCUCAUUAUGUUGCCCGAGGCUUCAGGAUCUUUUCCAAAGCAACAUGAAAAAAAUGUGACCGUAAAUCAAUCAGCUUCUUGGUGUGAUCUAUGCUGACGGCUAAGUGAUAAACGAGUUGGUCAAAGAAAACUGGAAAUAUUUCCAAAGCCAUGUUUACUCCCUUCACCCACCUGUGAGUUUUUGCCUUGACUGUUUCCGACUCGGAAUGGCCUCGCAUUGAUCUUCCUAACCACAGCCAGCUGAAACCAGCCUCCUUCCUGAUGUAUUCAGUAACUUCAGCUGAUUGCCAUCUCUCCUUCAUCUCAACAACCUGUACCACACUCACUGGAGCACUUGGCUUUGCAUCUUUAGUCGACCAGUUCAGAGGUAUACAACCUAGAAGGUAGGGACGGAGGCUUCUACCUGCCUGUACCCCCUUUGGAGGGCCCACGAAUACAGAGCUGAGCACAAAACAUGUUUAAAGGACAUUUAGUCAAAAAUGUCGCUUACAGGUAGGUCGUUAUUAGCAAGGUAGAGCAGCGGUAUGGCUGAGUCUACGCUUGGGAAUUCAUUUGCUCACUCAUCAUUUACUGACUAAAGCAAAGUUACUGAGGCCUCAGUUUCCUCAUCUACAACCCGGGGAGAUGACCAGUACCCAUCACAAUCGAUUGCUAUGAAGAUUCAAUGAUAAUGCAGAUAAGGCAUUUAAUACAGUGUCCCCUCACCGUCCACACCACACGGGCACGCCCGCUUAUUCCUGAGGACCGGGCUGGGACGUCGCCUCCUUUGUGUAGCCUUCCUACCCUGACUUCGCAGACUGCUCCCACCGCCUGGAUCCAUGCCCGUCCACCCGCCAGCUCUGCAGGGCUGAACGGCUGAGGCGGGCGCGCAGUGGAGAAAAGAGCCGCAGACUGAGGAAGGUCGGGAAGGACAAAGGGACACACCAGACGCGGCGUCUGAAUCCCUCUCCACCCAGAAGCCCCCGAGCACCAGCACCUCCGCCCCACCUCCCGCCCGCUCCGCCGGAAGCCGGUCAGGGCCAGCCGGAAGACCCGCCCCCUAGAGGCACCGCGGACACCGUGCAGCGCUGUUCACCCAAAUGCCAGCUGUGACCUUGGUUAAGCCAGUGACUUAACUCGGGCCCGUUCCCCGUUCCCACGUUGUUGCCAAGUCUCCAGCCUGGAAAGUAAACUGGCUUCAGGUAUCCUGUUUAGAUCCUUAAAAUGAGGAACGGCAGGAGCACACACACUGCUGCCACCUCACACCUUUUCACUUCAUCCUGACGAAGCUGCAGUUUAGUUCGUAUUUCAACUCAAAGACGUGUUAGGUUUUGGUUUGAUGGCACUCACUCAGCACUUGUGCAGAAAACAAGACCCUGCACUGAUGGAUCCGCUGGUGCCACCCAGAUCAAUAAACUGGCUCAUCUGAUCUUGUGGCCCCCAUCCAGGAACCAACUCAGAGCAAGAGGACAGCUUCAACUCCCUAUGCCUUCAUCUCUGAUACGACCUAUCAACACGCCCCACUCCCUGGCCCCCUACCUGCCAAAUUGUUCUUAAAAAAACUCCUGUCCCUAAAUUUUCCGGGAGAAUGAUUCGAGUAAUGAACUCUGGUCUCCCGUUCCGGCUCUGCAUGAAUUAAACUCUUUCUCUAUUGC